rnacentral:lncRNA from 1 species
AUUAAGAAUAAUUUGGACACUCUUCACAAUUGACCUCAAAACUUCAUCAGUGAAAACUAGAUUCGAAUAAAACUCCUUAACAAGAUCAAUGUAAAUGGGCUCCGAUAAAUUACAGAAAAAUCUCCAUCCUUGCUUAAUCAGUUUUUCACCAAGAGAAAAUCCAUCAUUUCUUAAGAAACGAAAGUCAACAUUCCUUCCCAGGGCUACUUUCCUAGAAGACAAAGGGAUCUUACUUGGGGUGAUCGGAGGAAAGGCUUGAACUGGUGCUUGAGCAGUCUUCUUCCUUCGUUCCUCAGCCUCCAAGAAUCUCACUGACUUCCUUCUCUGCGGCAAUCUCAUUUUGGGGGCCAUUAUCCCAAAGAGAGUAGGAAAAUCGAUCAAGAGAAUAGAGAAGGGUGAAGGAUGGAUGGAAAUAAGGAGAAGAGAAAGAUUUUGGGAUGAUUGUCAUGGAUUUUAGAAAUUAGAGCUUGAGAUUUUGAUGGAGAGAAAGAGAGAGAUGGUUUUGAUCAAGGAUAUGCUGAGAGAAUGUGUUUACCCUAUAAUUUAAGGGGAUGGAUUUGUGGGAUUGUGGUCGGUGGAGAGCUUGGAGAAGGAUUUCGGUAUGGGACGAGA